GUUUAGAUUGGUUCUAACAUUAUGUAUUCCACUUCGUUCACAGGUAUAUUAAAGUUGUUGCAGUUAAAAAGCUCGUAGUUGGAUUUGUGGGUGGAGCGGGGUUCCCGACGCCUAGCGUCGGUGAGGCCCGUCUCCGUCCAUCCUUGGGUGGAAUCCGUGUGGCAUUGAGUUGUCGCGCGGGGGAUGCCCAUCUUUUACUGUGAAAAAAUUAGAGUGUUCAAAGCAGGCUGACGCCGUUGAAUAUAUUAGCAUGGAAUAAUAAGAUAGGACUUCGGUACUAUUUUGUUGGUUUGCGCACCGAAGUAAUGAUUAAUAGGGACAGUUGGGGGCAUUCGUAUUCCAUUGUCAGAGGUGAAAUUCUUGGAUUUCUGGAAGACGAACGACUGCGAAAGGUGA
rnacentral:rRNA from 1 species